rnacentral:rRNA from 1 species
UCAGGACGAACGCUGGCGGCGUGCUUAACACAUGCAAGUCGAACGGUGAAGCCCUUCGGGGUGGAUCAGUGGCGAACGGGUGAGUAACACGUGGGCAAUCUGCCCUGCACUCUGGGACAAGCCUUGGAAACGAGGUCUAAUACCGGAUAUUACCCCUGGGGGCAUCCCUGGGGGUGGAAAAGCUCCGGCCCGGGGUUACGGUACCGUAACGGGGUAACGUUACGGGUAACGGUACCCCCCGGUACCGGGGUACCCCGUUAACGUUACCCGUAAACGGUACCCGUUUACGGUUUACGGGGUUACGGGGGGUUACGGUAACGUUAGGCCUACCAAGGCGACGACGGGUAGCCGGCCUGAGAGGGCGACCGGCCACACUGGGACUGAGACACGGCCCAGACUCCUACGGGAGGCAGCAGUGGGGAAUAUUGCACAAUGGGCGAAAGCCUGAUGCAGCGACGCCGCGUGAGGGAUGACGGCCUUCGGGUUGUAAACCUCUUUCAGCAGGGAAGAAGCGCAAGUGACGGUACCUGCAGAAGAAGCACCGGCUAACUACGUG